CCAAAUAACAUUUUGUAGCUUUAUUGAAUCUACGUUUCGACUAUAUUUUAGUCAUCAUCAUCUGUCUAAAAUAUAGUCGAAACGUAGAUUCAAUAAAGCUACAGAAUGUUAUUUGGA